rnacentral:rRNA from 1 species
GAUGAACGCUGGCGGCGUGCCUAAUACAUGCAAGUCGAGCGAUCAGACGAGGAGCUUGCUCCUCUGACGUUAGCGGCGGACGGGUGAGUAACACGUGGAUAACCUACCUAUAAGACUGGGAUAACUUCGGGAAACCGGAGCUAAUACCGGAUAAUAUAUUGAACCGCAUGGUUCAAUAGUGAAAGACGGUUUUGCUGUCACUUAUAGAUGGAUCCGCGCCGCAUUAGCUAGUUGGUAAGGUAACGGCUUACCAAGGCAACGAUGUGUAGCCGACCUGAGAGGGUGAUCGGCCACACUGGAACUGAGACACGGUCCAGACUCCUACGGGAGGCAGCAGUAGGGAAUCUUCCGCAAUGGGCGAAAGCCUGACGGAGCAACGCCGCGUGAGUGAUGAAGGUCUUCGGAUCGUAAAACUCUGUUAUUAGGGAAGAACAAAUGUGUAAGUAACUAUGCACGUCUUGACGGUACCUAAUCAGAAAGCCACGGCUAACUACGUG